GGGGCUUUCCCCGCGCCGCUGACUCACGAGCCCCGGCGCCGCUCGGCCCCGCGCCCGGUACCUGUAGGCCAGGGACAUGCACUCGAAGAGCUUCGUGAGGGACGCGUCGAUGCUGAGCCGCCCCCCGGCGCCGCCGCCCCCUCGCGCCGCCCCGAACUGGGCACAGGACGAGGUCACGAGGUGCGAGGUUGCCUGUGGGGAGGCCUCGAGCAGAAGUGCAGAACCGCUUCUGGCUGUAAGGCUGCGGCCAUGCUGACCAGAACCAGGAAUUAACUGCAGCUCGGCUAAGUUCAACAGUUCCCCCGCACAAAGGACGAGGAAAGUAUCAUUGCUAUGGAGGGCUCCAGCUGUGAGAAGUCUUUAAAAUCAAGACUGACGUUAAGCUCUCAGUCAAGAUCACGUAUGGCAGUCCUUAAGAAAAGGCUGCAAUCAUAACGUAGCUCUGGAGAUGGACAUUCUGCCUUACUUCAUUAAGAUGAGCACUCAGGGCACCUCCAGGCCAAGGCUGCUGUCUCUCCUCUCCUUCUCCACAGUGGGGAACUCCAGGAGGCACAGGGAACACCACGGACCCAGCAGCAUCUCAGCAAUGCCUUUCCUGACUGUUUUUAGCAAUCUUUGAUGCAAAAUGAUGUAGGCCACCAUCUCCUGCUGAUGUUCCUUCCAAAAAGCAGGCUUUCGGCACAGGAUUACCUAUAAUUCAACUAUAAUACACACUGAGCAGAGAGACAUUCAUGGUGCUUAAAAAUAUGCCUGCAGCAUACACCACAGCUCUCGGUGGGAAGAGAUUAUCUUCCUAAAUCUCACAGACUGGGAGAUAAGCCUUCCCAUUUUGAUGAGGCAGAGAGCCCAGGGAGACUUACUCACAGCCCCAGACCAUGGGGUGACUGCAGGGCUGGGAAUCCGGCCAUGGCUCCCGCUCUGCUGCCCAUCCUGCUCCAGGCAAACCACAGCCAACCUGCAGCUCUGCACCCCACUUCCCAGGCUGUGCUGUCACUCACUCCUUUACCAGCACAAGCCUUACCUGGUCAGAGGCUUUUCCUCCUGAAACCUGUCUUGAGUGAGGCUGCAAUCCCCACUCUUUUCCUCUCUCUGCUGUUUUAAUGUACUAUUUCAUAAAAUGAAAAACAAACAAAGCCAACAACAACAAACAACACUAGAAUUAGGUAGUUGUUUUUCACCCAGGGUAGCAGAUUGAAGUGGUUCAAUGAGAUGAUCCCACAAGCACCCCAGUAAAAGCAAGGGAGGCACCAAAAUGGACCAGCCAGGAGCAGCACUCUGCUCACAACUCACCCCCCCACAGCUGUCUGGGCAGCUGCAGGCUACUUUAGGACACAGUACAUAGAAUGCUGAGAAUAAGCAGGACACUCCACAUCCACCCUGAGUGUAAAGAAUCCUUCCAAAACUCUUAGGAAUUUUUAUCCUUGCCAGCAUCAGACUCGAGCAUGCUUCCCAGAUGAAGCACGUUUUCACACUGUGCCCUCUGCUCCAAUUUAAGUUUCCACAAGACGUUAGCUGAGUACUGAGCCAACAGUAAGCACCUUAAACCUUACAUUACCAAGUUUUUCUGCAGGCUGCUGUAAUAUCAUUGCCCAUAUUUGUUUGUUGCUAUUACAUUAUCCACACCCAGUCAGUGCCCUGCUAACAGACAGAGGCAACCUUUGGUCAAACCAAGUGAAUCAUUUUACACACUACCAAAUGAGACAACGCCAUGGAAUGCAUAUUUCAAAACACUGUAAAGAUGGGAAUUUAUUUUUAAUUUAAGAAACCAGCUGAGAUUAAGUUUCUCGAUAAAAAUUAGUCACAAAGCAUUCGUGUUGUGAUUUUUUUUUAUUUUAUUUCUGAAAUGAAACCAUUGUACAUUGUACAAACCAUAACUACCGAUGGAAUAAAUAAGUGAAAAAUUAUACUGCUGUACAACACACACACACACAAAUCAUAAGAUGGAAAACGAUUAGGUACUGAAGAAAACAAAAUUCUUUACACCUUCUAACAGGCCCUUAGAUAUAAAGAACAUUCCAAAACAUGACAAUGUUUAUGUAUGAAGAUAGCCACCCAAAACCAAUAUUUUAUACUGCCUUGUCGAUUUUUUUUGUUGUUUUGUAAGUGCCAGCACUUUUUUUUUUUUUCUUUUUUGGAAUGUUUAACAACUACUUUCCCAAGCAUAAAAAUUCCAAGGAAUAGUUCUGCUAUAAAAUGUUUGGCUGAGUAAAUCACUUAUUUGGAAGGCCUUCCCACACGUUCCACAAACUCAGCUAAUUUACUUGCUUGCUCCUAGUUUCUUUUUUUUUUCCUUUUUUUUUUUUAAUAUUUUUUUCUUUUUAUGUUUUGUAACUGAAGCUCCAACAUUCAGCACUGUAGCAAGGAAGCACUUGUUGAAAUUUGCACUAUUUCUGAAAGGUUAGCUGUAUGAGAACUGUCAGUCAUCUUGAAGAAAAUUACAUCUCUCCUUCUGCUCCACGUCUCAAUGCUUUCAAUAAAACCUUUUACAGUGAGUUCAUAAAACAAGUUUCUGGUAAAGACAGGUCCAAACCAAAAAAAAAAAAAGAAAAAAAAAACAAUAAAAAAAACUGGAUUUAGAUCUGGUUUCAAACCUCAGACUGGUUUGAAUUUGAUGUUCUGGUUUGGUCCCAUCUGUACUUACUUUCUGGCAUUAAAAUGUGUUUAAUCACAUCCGUUGGCCCAUAAAUGUUAUCAGGCACUUCACUAAGACUAAUAACAGUCUUAUACACUAUUUUGGAUUUCUUCAUACCAGGUAAUGCCAAAGUCUCUUCUCUUAGAGAAUGACAAUAACUGAUCUAAGGAACCCAAAUCUAUCUGCUUGUUCAGCUGUCUGUUGUCACUACUAGAAUCUCUGGUUAAAAGUAAAAGUUCUGAAUGUAUCCCGUAUAAGCUGUAAAUGAAACAUUGCUAUUUUAGAAAUAAAGCCUCUAGGAAUAUAAUUAUGAUGCCUUGUCUUGUAAGCCACAGAACAAUGAACAGUUCCGAGCAGAAGCCACAGGAGAGAAAAGGAAGCUUGUAAUUAAACCUGUUGAUGUCAAUAAUGCCAAUAAAUGCUUCUAUCUAAUGAAAAAUUUGAGGUAUUUUUAGUGCUAUUUAUAUAUUUUAUUUCUUCCUAAAGUACAGGAAUUAGUUUCUAAAUGAAAAAAUCUAUUUAUUCCCUUGGAAACUUCUACAAAAUUAGAAUUAAAAACUUGCUGCGAUGCACCUGGAGAUAGGGAUUAGUAAAAAUGACUGCUUGUCAAAGGUGGCAUCAGAUUUGUUUUGCUUUAGCAUUAAAAAAAACAACAACAGUAAAGCAAAAAUAUUUUAAAGUUUGAAUCUUUCUAAAUUUGACCAUUUCAUAUAUCAAUAGAACUUCUCACAAAAUAUCACUUAAAUCUGAAUGUAAUAUACAUACAAAUCAAUCAUCAUUGACCAGUUAUCCACAUUUUAGGCAUACACACAAUUCAAGAGAGAAUUCUACCAUUUCAUUGCAUAAUGUUGUGCAAACAUAAUUUUCGGCUCCUCAUUUCCUUAUUUUCAGAACGUUAAUGGACUUCGUGAUCAGACCAGAAAUCCCAACAACUUAAUAGGGAGCACACUUCUUUCACAAAUGGUUUUGCAAUCAAAUUUUAUUCAGUUAAAAUCCAAAAAGUUUAUUUCAACACAAAGGAAAAGUUGUGAAAUUGAGUGUCAUAUGUUGUUUGGAGUUGAAUCCUACAAACAUCCUAUGGAACGCCAGUACUGGCUCCCCCACCUGCCCUCCCUCCACUCCCUCCCCCGAGUUCCCCAUUGUUUUUCAUAAUAAAGUGGUAAUUGCAGAUGCAAUCCAGUAGUCUAAGUGCAAGCCAUUUUCACUAUUGGAGAAUUCAGAAAUAAAUAAGCUUGAUGAGGAGCUAAUUAUGAAAAUGUAUCAACUGGAAGCGAUUAUUUUUUUUUUCCUU